rnacentral:rRNA from 1 species
UACGAAGGGGGCUAGCGUUGCUCGGAAUUACUGGGCGUAAAGCGCACGUAGGCGGCAUGUUAAGUCAGGGGUGAAAUCCCGGGGCUCAACCCCGGAACUGCCUUUGAUACUGGAGAGCUUGAGUCCGGAAGAGGUGAGUGGAACUCCGAGUGUAGAGGUGAAAUUCGUAGAUAUUCGGAAGAACACCAGUGGCGAAGGCGGCUCACUGGUCCGGUACUGACGCUGAUGUGCGAAAGCGUGGGGAGCAAACAGG